ACGCUGGCGGCACGCCUAACACAUGCAAGUCGAACGAAGUAGCAAUACUUAGUGGCAGACGGGUGAGUAACAUGUAGGUAUCUGCCCUUUGGCCUGGAAUAACACGAGGAAACUUGUGCUAAUACCGGAUAAGUCUUUACAGAGAAAGCUUUAUGCACCAUUGGAUGAGCCUGCACUUGAUUAGUUUGUUGGUGGGGUAAUGGCCUACCAAGACUGUGAUCAAUAGCUGAUUUGAGAGGAUGAUCAGCCACAUUGGGACUGAGACACGGCCCAAACUCCUACGGGAGGCAGCAGUGGGGAAUCUUGCACAAUGGAGGAAACUCUGAUGCAGCGAUGCCGCGUGAGUGAAGAAGGCCUUUGGGUUGUAAAGCUCUUUCGUCGGGGAAGAAAAUGACUGUACCCGAAUAAGAAGGUCCGGCUAACUUCGUGCCAGCAGCCGCGGUAAUACGAAGGGACCUAGCGUAGUUCGGAAUUACUGGGCUUAAAGAGUUCGUAGGUGGUUGAAAAAGUUAGUGGUGAAAUCCCAGAGCUUAACUCUGGAACUGCCAUUAAAACUUUUCAGCUAGAGUAUGAUAGAGGAAAGCAGAAUUUCUAGUGUAGAGGUGAAAUUCGUAGAUAUUAGAAAGAAUACCAAUUGCGAAGGCAGCUUUCUGGAUCAUUACUGACACUGAGGAACGAAAGCAUGGGUAGCGAAGAGGAUUAGAUACCCUCGUAGUCCAUGCCGUAAACGAUGUGUGUUAGACGUUGGAAAUUUAUUUUCAGUGUCGCAGCGAAAGCGAUAAACACACCGCCUGGGGAGUACGACCGCAAGGUUAAAACUCAAAUGAAUUGACGGGGACCCGCACAAGUAGUGGAGCAUGUGGUUUAAUUCGAAGAUACGCGCAGAACCUUACCAACACUUGACAUGUUCGUCGCGACUCUAAGAGAUUAGAGUUUUCGGUUCGGCCGGACGAAACACAGGUGCUGCAUGGCUGUCGUCAGCUCGUGUCGUGAGAUGUUGGGUUAAGUCCCGCAACGAGCGCAACCCUCACUUUUAGUUGCCAUCAUUAAGUUGGGCACUCUGAAAGAACUGCCAGUGAUAAGCUGGAGGAAGGUGGGGAUGACGUCAAGUCCUCAUGGCCCUUACGUGUUGGGCUACACACGUGCUACAAUGGUAUCUACAACAGGAAGCAAGACUGCGAAGUUAAGCAAAUCCCUAAAAGAUACCUCAGUUCGGAUUGCACUCUGCAACUCGAGUGCAUGAAGCUGGAAUUACUAGUAAUCGUGGAUCAGCGUGCCACGGUGAAUGCGUUCCCGGGUCUUGUACACACCGCC
rnacentral:rRNA from 1 species